UCCUUUUCUGCAGUUAUGUUUUUUAAUCAAGGGUAAAAGGGUAAAUUCAUAAUUAUACUAUAGUGAGAUGAAUAUUUGUUUUAAAGAAAAAGAAAAGAUGAUCGUUCUUAGGGUUCCUUCCUAACCGCCGGUGAUUCGAUCUGCGGCGCCGUCGACCGGCGAUUCGAUUUGUCGCCCGUUGCCGCCUGACCUGCCUGGCCCCUCCCCUCGCUCAUCGCCGCCUGACCUGUCUCACCCCUCCCCGCCCGAGCUGCCUUGGCCAUCGCCGCCGGACCUGCCCCUGUGCUGUGGCGGACCUCCGUUGCCCCUCUCCGUCCGAGCUACCUCAGUCGUCCCUGGCAUGGUGCCCGCUCCCAGUGGCUCGUCCCCGGCUGCCAGCCCAAGCAUGUCUACAGGUGUGCGCUGGCCCUAUUGUGCCGUGUCUGGUUCCUCUUCUGAAUAGCAAAAGUUUUGGAUCGCAGUGAAAUAGUGAUGUUAUGCCUUACUUAGCACUGUGUGAUCUUACUUGCUAGUUACAGAAAUCCAUUUGGCAUGCCCACUUCAUGAUAAUAAUUCUAUCUGGAUCAUCCAUUUUGUGUGCUUAAUGCUGCCAUCAUUUCUUCUUCGUCUGAUUUGUUCUGACUGAAUGAGGGGCUGUAUGUCCCGUUCCUAGUGUGAGGGGCUGUAUGACAAAUCUGGUAUGAUUUCAUCUGACUGAAUGAGGGGCUGUAUGUCCCAUUCCUAGUGUGAAUAUUAUACUGUUGGUUGUGUCAAUUUGUUCUAUGGUUUGGGAGGAUGUUGUGGUCAUGGAUACAUAAUUUGAAUUCUGGUUUGUGUACUUCCACUGGUAGUACUCAUCUCAUUUUAUCACGUUCUUUUAAAAUCCUCAGUAUAUCAAUGUUGGUUUUUGAUGUGUUUUAGGAAAUGUCCUUGUUGUCAUGUUAUGUGCUCCUGUGUAUCUCUGCUGAUGACAUUGUUAAAAAAUUCCUAAGGAAAAAUAGUGUCCCCAUAUCAUUUGCAGAAGCAUGUCAAAUUAUUUUCAUGCAUGUGUAAAAUUAUUGUGUUAGUACUUGCAUGUGCUAUUUUGUUGAUUUCUAUUGCAGUCAUGGCAGAAUUGUAACGCCCCAGUCCCAAAUAUGGCUAAGUCCUACUCUCACGUUCAGCAACAUACCCGCACACACUAGGGCAGUCGACCAGGAACUUUCCCUCUUAGCACACGCCGUCUAGAACCGGCACAUAUGCCAUGCCGUGCGGCCACACAAGGAUCCACACGCGCCAUGCGCCACAUGUCCGUGUCCCUAGCACGCACACGCACGUGUAACCGUGAGGGUUGGCUCUAAUACCAAUUGUAAACGCCCCAGUCCCAAAUAUGGCUAAGUCCUACUCUCACGUUGAGUAAGACACGCACUCACACCAAUACCGCUUACGCUUUCGUCCUCGCUCCGCGUAAAAGGGUUAACCCAGGGUUUAAAUGCACUUGGCACUUGGGUUUAUAUGUUGGCGAGACUCACUUUCAAUUAGCAAGGUGGGACAACUCCCCACCCACAUGCCAUGCCACUCACACUUGGGCUACUAGUGGGCUCAAAUUUAUCCUUUGUUGGGCCGGGAUGUCACAAGAAUCAAGCUCGCAAGGUUCCAGGAUGGGUGCAGGCAGUCGUGGUGUCCGUGGCCUUCCGAGGUCGCGACCACUAGUGCCCUACAGAGAAGGCCCUCUGGCUUAUGAGCCCACCAUGGUGUGUGUUCAACAGAAAGGCACCACGGUGGAUUUCGUGGAGUGAUGAUAAUCCUGGUCGGAGGUACUACAGAUGCAGCCGAGCAAGGACUGAUGGGGACUGUGGCUUCUAUGUGUGGUAUGAUCCUGAGCACACAACAUUUAUGAGUUUGGAUCUCCAUAAUGCUGUUUGGGAAUUGAGGAGUAAAGCGUUGGAGAUUGCUGAGCUGAAGCAAAUCAAUGACCUGCUGUCCAGUGAGAAUAAAGAGAAGGUUUUAGUCCUAAAGGCACAAGAGAAGGACCUAGAGGAGAAGAAUAAGCAAUUAGUGCUCCUGGCUAACAAGUUUAGUUCAGGGAGUAGGUGUAGUUUAUUCUGUUGUGGCUUUGUAAUGUUACUUAUUGGCUUGUUCUUUGGCCUGAUGUUAGGUGUCAUGUGAUAUAUCGAUAUAACGUGUCUGAUGGAACCAUUUCUAUGUUAAGCGCUGCAAUAUCACAUUGACUGCACAGGUCCAAAAGUUCUGGGUUAUUUGUUUCAGUUGCACCGGCUUUAUUUUUGUUGGUUUGGAGUGCAUGUACUUUUCUGUUGCUCCUUUAAUGAAUUUUCUUGCUUCUCAGA